GCCCUGGUGGCGGAAUUGGUAGACGCGCUGGCUUCAGGUGCCAGUGACCGCAAGGUCGUGGAAGUUCGAGUCUUCUCCAGGGCACCA
rnacentral:tRNA from 1 species